GGGGAAUCUUGCGCAAUGGGCGAAAGCCUGACGCAGCAACGCCGCGUGAGUGAUGAAGGUCUUUGGAUCGUAAAGCUCUUUCGGCUGGGAAGAACCGCCCGGUGGCUAAUAUCCAUCGGGUCUGACGGUACCAGCAGAAGAAGCACCGGCUAACUCUGUGCCAGCAGCCGCGGUAAUACAGAGGGUGCAAGCGUUGUUCGGAAUCAUUGGGCGUAAAGAGAGUGUAGGCGGGAUCGCAAGUCGGAUGUGAAAGCCCUCGGCUCAACCGGGGAAGUGCAUUCGAAACUGCGGUUCUUGAGUGUCGGAGAGGGUGGCGGAAUUCCCGGUGUAGAGGUGAAAUUCGUAGAUAUCGGGAGGAACACCAGUGGCGAAGGCGGCCACCUGGACGAACACUGACGCUGAGACUCGAAAGCGUGGGGAGCAAAC
rnacentral:rRNA from 1 species